rnacentral:tRNA from 1 species
UAAUCUUUAGUGUAAAGGCACGAAAAAUUUUGAUUUUUUAAGAGAUAAUUUUAUUUAUUAAGAUUAA